rnacentral:rRNA from 1 species
GACGAACGCUGGCGGCGUGCCUAAUACAUGCAAGUUGAGCGCUGAAGGUUGGUACUUGUACCAACUGGAUGAGCAGCGAACGGGUGAGUAACGCGUGGGGAAUCUGCCUUUGAUCGGGGGACAACAUUUGGAAACGAAUGCUAAUACCGCAUAAAAACUUUAAACACAAGUUUCAAGUUUGAAAGAUGCAUUUGCAUCACUCAAAGAUGAUCCCGCGUUGUAUUAGCUAGUUGGUGAGGUAAAGGCUCACCAAGGCGAUGAUACAUAGCCGACCUGAGAGGGUGAUCGGCCACAUUGGGACUGAGACACGGCCCAAACUCCUACGGGAGGCAGCAGGAGGGAAUCUUCGGAAAUGGACGGAAGUCUGAACGAGCAAAGCCGCGGGAGUGAAGAAGGUUUUCGGAUCGUAAAACUCUGUUGGUAGAGAAGAACGUUGGUGAGAGUGGAAAGCUCAUCAAGUGACGGUAACUACACAGAAAGGAACGGCUAACUACGUG